AGGGGAAGCAGCUCCUACUGCUGGGACUUCGCUAGGUCUCUGGGUGAGCACAUGUGCGGCAUCUAUUUAUCUAUCCAUACCUGCAUAUGAAUAUGUCUAACGUGCACACACACAUUCACAAAGCAGGUGGUCAAAAAGAUUAUCAUGCUGAUCUUAAAAGGUUCACAUUCAAUAUUGUGAAAAGCUUUCAGAAGUUGUGUUUCCAAGACAAUCAUUUUGUUUGUUUGUUUCUGUUUUAAUAUUCUUGUGACAACUAAGUUGAAAAAGCAGCAUGUCAGAAAUAAUUUUGAUUCUAUAUAGACCUCUUCUCUUUUUUUAAAUUAUAAAAGUUUAUUAUUUAUUUUACCUUUAACUGAUAAUGUGAAAUUCUCAAAAAUAUGUUCUCUUUAAAAUAUACAGUUGUAAACUCUUCAAAGUAAACAUAACAAUCUAGGUGUUAUUUAUUAACGUAUUAUACAAUGAUGUCUGACCCAGUAUGUGCUUGUCCUAUUUAAGAUUGGAAUGUGAGACAUGUUGCUGUGACCUGUUUUGUUUUGUUUUUUUGUUUGUUUUGUUUUUGCCUCAUUCCAUAUUUGUAGAUAUUGUGUGAACUACAGUAUAUAAUGACAAUAAUUAAGAGGAUAUUAUGUGGCUGUCACAUACAUUUUGAGAUGAUAGAACUAUAUUAGCUUUGUGUCAUGUUUGCAUAGGUCAUUAACGUUCACGGUUUAAAUACCAUUAAAUGUUAUGCGAUUAGCAAUGAGGAAGAACCCUUCCUUAAAUCUGGGAGUUUCCCACCGCUCUUUCCCUGAUGCAUUAUGAUCCUGGACGCCUGUCUAUCUCAAAACUCUUAACACGUGCAGACCAAUAGGUUCUGUGUUCCUUUUAAAUACCAGGUUGUGACAGUUUGUUGUUGGCCAGAUCCACCAUCUCAUUCAUAUUUAUUGUAAUAUAUUUUUGUUUUGUAAAUACAUGAAACAAAACAAAAUGUCAUUGUUCUAAAAUAUUUGUAAUGUAUAUUAAAAAGGAUACAAAAUACUUUUAGAAAUAUACAUUAUUUUUGUACCUGCGGGAGUACGAGGGGCCAGAGAGAUGACGCAGUGGUUAGACGUGCACACUACUCUUGCAGAGGACCUCAGUACCCACACUGCCUGUGUCUUCAGCUGCAGAGGGCUCUGAUGCCCUCUUUUGGUUUCCACAGGCACUUGCAUUGACGUGCACACACCCCUCCUCUAUACACAUGAUUAAAAUAAAAUAGAUCUUAAACAAGCAAAGAAGCAUCCCAAACCAAACAAAUGAGAAAUGGAGUACAAUGGCAAACUUGACAGACACCCUCUAACCCGACUUGCUUUUAAAGAUCGGUAAGGGGGAAGAAUCUGAAAAGUGUGGAGUACAUUUGCACCAAAAGGUAACCUGACAAGAUUCUAUGUUUAUACUUUCAUCUCCCAGUAUCACUCAUGUCUUGAGGCAGACAGACAGACAGACAGACAGACCCCACUGGUCAUGUCUGAUGAAAACUGUGUUGCAAAAGGACUCAGCAUAGGAAUCCUGUUCUUACUAGAAUAUGAAUGUGUUUCCAACCACAUGUUUGUGUGCUGAGUCAGAGAGACUGAUUUACCAUCGAACAGAAAUGCUGGAUAUUUUUAAGCCUGAGGACAGAGAGAACAUAUGCACAUUUGUAGACACACUGUUCCAGAGCAUUUGAGCCACGGCUUUGCUGAUGUGUCCAGACCAGUGGUUUUCAAGCUUCCUAACUCUGUGACCCUUUAAUGCAUUUCCUCGUGUUGUAUUGAUUCCUCUAACCAUAAAAUUAUUUCAUUGCUACUGUGUAGCCGUAAUUUUGCUACUUUUAUGAGCUGUGAUAUAAAUAUCUGAUAUGAAAUAUCUGUGGGAGCCACAACCCACAGGUUGAGAACCUCUGGUCUGGCAGCUCAGGUCAGUACUAGUGCUACUGGUGAGACCACAUUGGGUAAGAAGUCAGCACAAAAGUUGAAUUUCAGAGGAUGUUAUCCUAGUUCAAGACAUUUUCCAUGAUGAAAACACCAGCUUAUAAAAUGCAGGUCAAAUCAAGAGUUUUUUUUUUUUUUUUAACUAUUCUAAAAAUAAGCCAUAAAGUUUGUGGAAUGGUGAUAUAUGUUGGUUUGAAACUAAAAGAGUAGCUAUGAAUACUGAUUUUUUUCCUACUUAAUAUCUGUUAUAUUGACAAAUACUUUAAACUCUGAGUCGUGAUUUUAUCAUUUGUAAAAUAGAUUCCUUACAGGUCUUAUGAGGCACCAUGUGUGUAAAGUAUUACCUCACAGAUACUAGCCAAUAACUAUCAGUACUGCUAAUGAUAAAUAAGACUAGGUGCCACACUGAUGGUUUUUGAGCUGGAAAUACAUGGAGCCCUCAGGUUCAGAAACGGCUCCAGGAAUAGGAAAGUCUGCUGGGAACACCUUAUUCCUUGACACUUCUACCAGUCUCCUUGGGACGGGGUGAGAUCUGGGUGUAGAAAAUGACAGAUGCUUGUUUCUGUUAGUGUCAUAGCACAAUUCUGUUUAGGAUGCACUGUGACCUUAGAGCCUCCUCUGGGGCAGAUGUGUGACCUUGUUGUGCCCUUACAUGUGUGGCGCUGUAAGAUCUGGAGUUUGAGAAGGGUAUUUUCUGUGGACUAGGGGGAGGUGAUACUAUUUAUUAUAAACUUACUAAUAUUUGCUAUAUCAGGGCUCAGAAAAUGACUACAAACUACAGAUUCCAGAACCCAAAUUUCUCCUAUCUCCCUUCUUCUUUUCUUGUAUCUCUCAUUCUUUUCUAGGCAGAUCAUAGAGACUAGAAUUCAUCUUUGCCAAGGCAGGUCAUUGAAACCACACCUUUUCCCCAAAGCCAGAUGUAAAAACGAAAAUCACUCCCAAUCUCCUCCCUUUUGCCAUAAGAGUUGGCCACCUGAAGUCCUCUCUCAUUCUCUGUAGAUCACAAGGUCUCUUUUCCAGGGAAGGGUCUUGUGCCAUAUCUGGAGGGAGCGCUGCACAGAGCAACCAAGAAGAAUGAAUAGACAGACCCUUUGGAUUCCUCUCUUAGUCCAUUACUGUUCGGCCAGUCUCUUUCUGGCCCAUAAUCUUUCUGUGUGGCUGCCAAUGCUUCAUCAAACCUAAACAUAAGAUUGCACAGUACACACAGACUUCUUGAGUCUUCUUCAGCCUGCAGGCUUCUGUGUCAUUUCAAACUAUGAUCAAAUAAAUUUGCUAUGAUUUUUUUAUGUUGUAACCUGCCUUUUGCUAUAGUUGUAUUGGCCAUGAAACUUUAUGAAUGGUAAAGGGAUCACCCCUUUUUUGUUCCCAGAGUUAAUAUAAUCAACCCUUGGUAUAUGCUAUAGAUGAGACACUAGUAAAUAUGUAUAUUAAUAUG
rnacentral:lncRNA from 1 species